AGGUCCAUAGCUCAAUUGGUAGAGCACUGGUCUCCAAAACCAGGUGUUGGGGGUUCAAGUCCCUCUGGGCCUGCCA
rnacentral:tRNA from 1 species